rnacentral:rRNA from 1 species
UACAGAGGGGGCAAGCGUUGUUCGGAAUUACUGGGCGUAAAGGGCGCGUAGGCGGCCUGCUAAGUCGAACGUGAAAUCCCCGAGCUCAACUCGGGAACUGCGUCCGAUACUGGCAGGCUUGAAUCCGGGAGAGGGAUGCGGAAUUCCAGGUGUAGCGGUGAAAUGACGUAGAUAUCUGGAGGAACACCGGUGGCGAAGGCGGCAUCCUGGACCGGCAUUGACGCUGAGGCGCGAAAGCCAGGG